GAUGAACGCUGGCGGCGUGCCUAAUACAUGCAAGUCGAGCGAACAGACGAGGAGCUUGCUCCUCUGACGUUAGCGGCGGACGGGUGAGUAACACGUGGAUAACCUACCUAUAAGACUGGGAUAACUUCGGGAAACCGGAGCUAAUACCGGAUAAUAUAUUGAACCGCAUGGUUCAAUAGUGAAAGACGGUUUUGCUGUCACUUAUAGAUGGAUCCGCGCCGCAUUAGCUAGUUGGUAAGGUAACGGCUUACCAAGGCAACGAUGCGUAGCCGACCUGAGAGGGGGGUCGGCCAAACUGGAACUGAGCACCGGCCCGGCCCCCGAGGGGAGGCAGAAGGAGGGAACCUUCCCAAAUGGGCGAAAGCCUGACGGAGCACCGCCCGGUGGGUGAUGAAGGGCUUGGGUUCGUAAACCCCUGUUAUUGGGGAAAAACAAAUUUGUAAGUAACGAUGCCGGUCUGAACGGAACCAAACCAGAAACCCCCGCCUACCUACGU
rnacentral:rRNA from 1 species